rnacentral:lncRNA from 1 species
GCAAGAGGCUGGCGCGUGCGCAGAGCGGCGGGGCGGCAGCGCGCGCGGGGGAUGGCGCAUGCGCACGGCCGACUGGGGGGGGGUGUUCUGAGGAGGCUUAGGCGGAGGGGCCGUGGGGCUGGCGGUCGGCGCCGGUUCGGGGCUGCGAGGGUGCCGCUGAGGGGACCUGGGGGAAGAUGGGCCGAAAGCAUCAGGUGGGCGCCUCCAGCCGCUCACGUCGGACAAACUCACAGCUUUGGCAGCCAGUCGUGCAGCGUGCUUGCAGAAAGCGGGCCUUGGCUUUGAGCUGGUGUGAGGUGAAAAAAACGUCACCAGUAGUUAAAAGAGCUGAGCUGAAUCGCUGUUCAUCUGGUAACUGGAAGCACUGGCUUGUGAGUACCAGCAACAGCUUUCAAGAUUGUCUUCCGGGAAUAGCGGCACUAGGCCGUGCUGCAGAGAGCACCUUAAGGAGACAAAUGGCCGGCUUCUACGCCCCUUCCUCAGAAGACGCAGCCCCUGAGUUUGUGGCACCAAAGCCCCUCGGAGCUGGGGCCCCGGGGCCCGGCUGCUUUGCUCGGCUCGGCCCGGCCCGGCGCGGCCCCGCUCCGCGCCCCCAGCGCCCCCUGCCGGGCGGCCGCGGCACUGCGGGGCCGCCAGCUCGGCGGGGCCGGGAGCGGCGCGGGCCCGGUGGCUGCUGCCCCCGCGGGGUCCCUUCCCGCUGCUCGCUUCCGAAAAUAUUUACCCCNNNNNNNNNNNNNNNNNNNNCCCCCUGCCGGGCGGCCGCGGCACUACGGGGCCGCCAGCUCGGCGGGGCCGUGAGCGGCGCGGCCCCGGUGGCUGCUGCCCCUGCGGGGUCCCUUCCAGCUGCUCGCUUCCGAAAAUAUUUACCCCGGAGGCACCGAGCGCAUCGCCCCGCGGCGGGGCCGGCAGACGUUUCCCAAGCAGUUCUAAGGCUUUAG